GGGUACAUAGCUCAGUGGUGGAGCAAAUGCUUAGCAUGCACGAGGUCCUGGGUUCAAUCCCCAGUAGCUCCA
rnacentral:tRNA from 1 species